rnacentral:lncRNA from 1 species
AUGUGUAUACUUUUUUUUUUUCUUUUUUUUCCAAAAAAAAAUAAACCUACAACUGCUGAUACCUUUUCUCGCAUGUCAGGUGGGGCUGGGGCUGCAGCAGCCCUGCCUCUUCCCAGUCAUGCCUGCAUUGGAAGGGUCCUGGAAAAUCUCACAGAAUCAUAGAAUGGCCUGGGUUGAAAAGGACCACAAUGACCAUCGAGUUUCAACCCCCCGGCUAUGUGCCAACCACCAGAGGAUCGCCAACCACCAGAGCAGGCUGCCCAGAGCCACUUCCAGCCUGGCCUUGAAUGCCUCCAGCGACGGGACAUCCACAACCUCCUUGGGCAACCUGUUCCAGUGCGUCACCACCCUCUGGGUGAAAAACUUCCUCCUAAUAUCUAACCUAAACCGCCCCUGUCUCAGUUUAAGACCAUCCCUCCUUGUCCUACCACUAUCCACCCUCAAAAACAGUCGUUCCCCUUCCAGUUUAUACGCUCCCUUCAAGUACUGGAAGGCCACAAUGAGCUCCCCCUGGAGCCUUCUCUUCUCCAAGCUAUACAAGCCCAGUUCCCUCAACCUUUCCUCAUAGGAGAGGUGCUCCUGCCCUCUGAUCAUCUUAGUGGCCCUCCUCUGGACACGCUCCAACAGCUCCACCCUUCCUCUACUGGGGGCCUGUAGAGCAAAUAAGGAUACGGAUAUAAGAAACUAUCGCCUUUGAAAAGGAAUAAUCAGAGAUGAACAGGAAGCUUACCCGUGUCCUAGGCUCGCCAAAAGGGCUCCAAGAGGAGUGAUCUUCAGAGAGCGAUCCUUCCUCCGUGGCAGUCAGCCCUUAAAUGGGGUUUAGAAGAGGUGGAGCCUGGCUCCACCCCUUCCGGUCACACAGGUGGAGUUGCAGUUCAACAGGUCUCAUACAGGGCCCCAGGCCUGGGUGCAGUACUCCAGAUGGGGCCUCACAAGAGCUGAGUAGAGGGGGACAACCACCUCCCUCUCCCUGCUGGCCACCUCUUUCUUAACGCAGCCCAGAACACACUUGGCCUUCCGGGCUGCCAGCACACACUGCUGGCUCACGUCCAGCUUCUAAAAUCACACAACGCUGGAAUGGUUUGUGUUGCAUGGCUCCCUGAAGAUCACAGAACCACUGGAUUUUUGUACGCUGGAAGUGUCCUUGAAGAUCACAGAACAAUAGGAUGGCUUGUGUUGAAAAUGUCCCUGAAGAUCACAGCACAGUAGA